rnacentral:rRNA from 1 species
ACUCCUACGGGAGGCAGCAGUGGGGAAUAUUGGACAAUGGGCGAAAGCCUGAUCCAGCCAUGCCGCGUGUGUGAAGAAGGUCUUCGGAUUGUAAAGCACUUUAAGUUGGGAGGAAGGGCAGUUACCUAAUACGUGAUUGUUUUGACGUUACCGACAGAAUAAGCACCGGCUAACUCUGUGCCAGCAGCCGCGGUAAUACAGAGGGUGCAAGCGUUAAUCGGAAUUACUGGGCGUAAAGCGCGCGUAGGUGGUUAGUUAAGUUGGAUGUGAAAUCCCCGGGCUCAACCUGGGGAACUGCAUUCAAAACUGACUGACUAGAGUAUGGUAGAGGGUGGUGGAAUUUCCUGUGUAGCGGUGAAAUGCGUAGAUAUAGGAAGGAACACCAGUGGCGAAGGCGACCACCUGGACUGAUACUGACACUGAGGUGCGAAAGCGUGGGGAGCAAACAGGAUUAGAUAACCUGGUAGGCUCUGC